CUGUGACUACAACAAAGCUCAAGAUCUCAGCCAACUAACUCACAGUCCUUACCCAGAUAAAUCUCUUAGAAAAUUCAGACUGGUUGAAAAAUAGGUGAAACAAAUGAGAGGAGGAUGAUCUACUUUACACUUACUACUGCAAAUAACUGACUGUAUUGCACUGUACAGCUGACUGUACAGCUCCUUGGUGAAUAACACAGACAUAUGAGUUGAUUCAUCCUCACACACAGAAAUAUUUUCUCAUCUGAUGGAAUAUGUCAUCAUAUGUUCAAAGAUGGCAAUGGAAUGUGAAAUGAGAGAAAUAUGAAACAAACAAAAAGACUGAUGCAGAUAAUUCACAUGCUUCAACUUCCAAAAUAGCAAGAGAAUGACUACAAGAUCUUACUGGAGAAAUGAGCCAGCAAAUAAUGACAAGAAUCCAGCAUUGUAGUAAAUAUGAAAUGUGUAAGUUACAGCCAUUAGGUAAAAUUGCUACCUUUAAAACUGUAUGAAUAACAACACAUCUGAAUAUACGAAACAGGAAAACUUUCAGCAUGUCAUGAAUACAAAGAACAUUAAUUCUCUUCUCAGUUCGGACACAGUGGCAUUAAUCUAAAGAUAAGCAUAAUAAAAU